UUUGGUAUGUGUGACUGGCGUAAACGUAGAGACCCACGAGGGAGCACAAAUUGUCAUAUGCCGUACGCCUAGGCAGACGUA
rnacentral:ncRNA from 1 species